rnacentral:rRNA from 1 species
UACGGAGGGUGCAAGCGUUAUCCGGAUUUACUGGGCUUAAAGGGUGCGUAGGUGGGUCUGUAAGUCAGUGGUGAAAUCUCCGAGCUUAACUCGGAAACUGCCAUUGAUACUAUAGGUCUUGAAUUAUCUGGAGGUAAGCGGAAUAUGUCAUGUAGCGGUGAAAUGCUUAGAUAUGACAUAGAACACCAAUUGCGAAGGCAGCUUACUACGGAUCGAUUGACACUGAGGCACGAAAGCGUGGGGAUCAAACAGG